rnacentral:lncRNA from 1 species
GACAAAAUUAGAGGGAAUAAUUGUUAGUUGUGACUCAAAAUUGAUAAUCGACUCAAGUUCGAAUUUUCAACUCGCCGACAGUUUCGCGAUACGAUCAAAUUAGAAAAUAAAUUUGUGAAGAAAAAAUGAAUGUCUGUGGUAGGUAGCGGAAGGCUCGGGCCGACAGGUCCGAGCCCGUAGCCCACCACUGACAUUCGCCAAGGGGUGCGGGGGGCUCCGCCCCCCACGGUACGGAUUGGAUCCAAAACCCAUUAAGAGUUUUCCUUUUCAUUUUUGCCCUAGAGGCGUGUGAUCAUGGUUGGUUGUACUAUUUGAACAUUGUAUUCCUUUUUUAAUUUGAUCGUGAAGUUCUCUCCUCCCUCGCCCGUGAUUUUUUUCUGCAAAAAUUUUUUCACGUAAAUCUGUGUGUUUUCUUUUAUUUCAGCUUGUGGUUUGUUUAUUUCGUAUUUGUCAUUUCGUUUUCGUUAUGCGUUUGUCGUAACAAUAAUAAUAACAAAUAGAUUUUAAUAUAAACAGAUCGAAUUCAUUAAUACCCUAUAUAUGCAUGUGAAAACAAUUUAUCC